CUCUGGCCCCGCCCACAGGCGGCUCAACCGCCUCUUAACGACCCCAGCGGGCAGCGCCCCGGCCCCUGCCCCACGCGCCCCUCUGGCAGCUUAACUGUCCCCGCGCACCUGGCGCCCCGCCCCCGCGCGCCCAGCACCCCCCGGGCCGCGAACAGUUCCCGCCCCCGAGCCCGGCUGCGUCUCGGCGCGGCUCAGGCCCCCUCAGCCCGCAGAAGACGGCGGGCGCCUCCGCCCAGCAGGAGCGCCGCCUCCCCAUCCUGAAGCUUGUAUACGGACUUUUGCUGCUGCCAGACCAACGGUCUCUUCAGAUGGAGAGAUACAGGGAGAUGAGAGAUGCCCCGGCUUCAGAGAUUCCUCUGAUGCCGUGUCAGCUUCCAGGUGGUGCUGGGACUUGAACCUUGUCGACUUGUUUCGCAAAGCACACUCCCUUCCUGGAUCUGCAGGUGGCACAGCCUUUGCUGCUCCCUGGACCUCCCUCUGCUUGGCCUGUCCCGCCUAUCGUGUUGCCACCCAUCAAGUCUGCCUUUGUUCACAGUCCUGCUGGCACCGGAUGAACACCCCAGGGGCAGAGGUGAGCAGGAAGAGACAGGACAGAUCAGUGGAGGCAUUUCAUCCCUUCAGAGACCAGCACACUGCAUCUGACACGACAUCAUUGAAGAGAAGAGAAAGCUGAAUCUGAGAACAAGAUACCGCACACUACUACCAUGCUGCCAAUACACACCGGACCUCCAGUAGUCCUUAAUGAGGGCAGAGUUCAUGAAGAAUAGAUGGAGUCUGGGUGCCAUGGGGAGCAAGGGGGGAAGAAAAAAACAUAGGAGGAAGAAGGAGAAAGAGCAAUUGGACGAAUAUGUCCAAGACUGGAAGCAGCCCCAGUCUGAUCACAGUGAGCCAAUUCCAUCACUGGAGGGAUCUCAGAAGUUGUGGAAGCACCUGUCAUACACUAAGAAGACAAUACAUCUCUGAAGCAGUGAGUCUGCAGGGCGACAUCCAGAUCUCAGACGAUGUGGGUCAGAUAACUUAGCCAGUAGAGAAGGAAAAGGAGACCCGAUGGGAGCUGCAAAGUCCACCUGAGUGGGUGAUAGUGUUUCCUGUCCAGAGACUUCAAUGUCUGCCCGGAAGAGGAGCAGAGAUGUAACCGAGGUGAAUUUAAAGCCUCCCAGUUAAGACUGGAAGACUGAGUGAAGAAAAGCAGAGGUGAGCACGAUGCCCGCCUUUCCACAAAGCUGGGCUCACAGAGGACCUCAGCAGUCUGAGGGAGAACUUAACAUCUUAGAGACUCUCUAAGACAUGAGGGAGGAGGCCCUGCAAAUGAAGAUCAGACAACUGAAGGUGGAAGAUAGAAAGGAGGGCCUGGCAGUUGCAGAAACGAAGGUUAGUGCGGUUAGUGCGGCUGGGAAAGAAGCAAAGCACUGCCAACAGAAAUUUAAAGACACCAAAGAAGGGUAGGAGAAGUCAGAACAUUCAUGUAAAAGGCAGUGUUGGGCUCCAAAGAAAAUGGCUCAUGUCUACUGAUUGAAAGCAUGUGUUGCAGAGAGGGUGGUGGGCUCAGUGAAGCCUUGAUGGGAGUGCAUCAUGAGAUGACAUUCCUGCAAGAACAGAUGGCGGAAAGAGAAAUGCAGGAAAAUCCAAGCCAGCAAAGCCUCCAGUGAGGGUUGUCCAGAGGCCGCAGGUGCCCAGUUGCCCCUACCCUGAGAUGGUGGGAGAGAGUCUGUCCCCACUGCCUGCACAGCCACUGCAGGUGUGUGCUCAGCCAGGGGCAGGACAGCAGAGGAGAUGGGGGGAGGGGUGGGAGGGCUACCAGAAUGAGAAACUGCAACCCAGGCUCCCCUUCCAAGAGUGUCCUGACAGAGGAGCAGGCAGCCAUGGCUGGGAGAGGCCCUGCAGAGUGUCCCUCCUCACAAAUCCCACCCUCAGCAGAGACCCUGCUCCACCAUGAUGCUCCCUGUGCUGCCAGCUCCAGGCUGCUGCUCUUUGGGGCCUCACUCAGUGCGGCCACAGUUCAUAGGGGGUUGCCCCUCCCACCCUGUGCUUUCAUCCCACUUCACACUCCUCAGACCCUACGCCCCUCUUGGGAAGCUCUGCUUCUCUGGCGUAUAUCCAUCAGCCCCAGCCCAGGGCCUGUGGCAUUACACACCUCCACGUGUGGGACUGCAGACUCACAUGCCCCAGGGGUCCCCAGAGUGUUCCUCCUGCCAGAGACACACCACCUUCUGGAGAGAGACAGAAGCAGCCACCUCAGAGCUGCUGCUAGACACAAGCAGUCUCCCAGAGUCACCAUCCGGGACCUCAUCAACUUAGUGCAGAUGAACUAGAUUGUGAAUAAAGUCUUCCACAGGCUUUAUCAUUUAAACAAACAAACAAAAAAACAUAGUUGGGGUUUCAGAACAAGUGGUGCUGAAGGCUUGCAUUUUUGAGUCUGCCAAUUCAAACUUUGCAUGCUUCUGUUUUAAUAAAAAUAAAAGCCACUCAACCUC